GCGCAAGGGAGUCUCCUGAAGUACUGGAAGUUUCUAUAUCUUUUUCAGAGUGGUGGGUACACAGGUGCACACAUAUAUAAAAAUGUAUUCAUCUGCAUACUUGAAGUUUUACACACUUUGUAUAAUUUAUUAAUCAACCAAAAAAGCAAAACUAACCUAAUGCAUAAAAUCCAUCAGGUUAAUGAGUAGACAUCGUUCUUUGUCCUGGAAACCUCAAGUUUAGUUUGCUAUUCCGUUUUAGCUGACGUUGCCCUGCUUGAAGUGCUGUCCAGGGAAGCCACAAGGCACUGUUCUGGGUGGGGGUGGGAGUGGUAUCCACUUCCCCAGACCCACCAAGAUCUGAGGUGGAGGCUGGCCAGACACUGGGACUCUGCUGGCAUUUCGGCUGCAGAUUUGGGGCAGGUGCCUGACACAGCACAGCUAGAUGAGUCGGGAUGUGGCAGGAAGCAGGUGACACUGACAUAAGCCAAGAGCUGGAAGCAAC
rnacentral:lncRNA from 1 species